UACGUAGGGUGCGAGCGUUGUCCGGAAUUAUUGGGCGUAAAGGGCUCGUAGGCGGUCUGUCGCGUCGGGAGUGAAAACUCAGGGCUUAACCCUGAGCCUGCUUCCGAUACGGGCAGACUAGAGGUAUGCAGGGGAGAACGGAAUUCCUGGUGUAGCGGUGGAAUGCGCAGAUAUCAGGAGGAACACCGGUGGCGAAGGCGGUUCUCUGGACCGAUACUGACGCUGAGGCGCGAAAGCGUGGGGAGCAAACAGG
rnacentral:rRNA from 1 species